rnacentral:tRNA from 1 species
GAGGGUAUAGCUCAGUAGUAGAGCACAUGCCUAGCAAGCACGUGGUCUGGGGUUUAAUCCCAGUACCUCCA